UUCAUAUAGACUGGCAUGGUACCUUGGUGU
rnacentral:piRNA from 1 species